GGGAGCAGCUAUCUGGACCUGCUUUCACUGAGGAGAGAGAGCAGCUCUGAAGGAGGAUGCCCGAUCCCUUCCUGAGUGGCCACCUUGCUUGUGCCCAUUCCCAGUCCCGUCAAGGAGAAAGGAGCCUUCAAGAAACUGAGGGAGACUGAGAAAUAUGUUCACAGGAUCUCUGCUCUUCCCCAAAUACAUUUUCUCCUCUACCUCUGUAUCAAGCAUUUUAUUAAGGCCAGCUGAAGUGUGCAUCUGUGAUUCUCUAUGGAGAGGAAUGAAAUAGAUAUGCCUGGCUUUUGUUUCUUUUACGGUCUUCUUGAAGGAAAAAUGAACUUCUCAAGUCCAAUCUUCACUUUUGCAAUCAAGCUUCUGGUAGCAAAUUUUAGUGUUUUUCCUUGAAACUCCAUAAACAUUAGGGUGAGCAGAAGGCGCUGCUCUGUGAGUUUAAAACCUCCAGAAAGUUUAUGGCGUUUUUAUGCCCUAAAUCCAGAUUGUGUCUAAUUAUUCUCCUCCAUCACACAACGUGCUGUAACCUCGCGCUUCCAGCCACCACCUCCAGAAGACACAAAACACAGCAUUUGUUCCCCGAGAAGGCUGCUGCAGACGCACAUUAGGUAGCUUCCCUCUCACUUUGGUUAAAUUAAAGCAAUAUUUUAAGCAUCCUGGGGACGGGUUUUGCUCGCCUCUCUCGUGACAAGGCCUGAAGGGGAAGCAGGAGAUGCUCCCAUCUCCUUGGCAACUGAGCCAGGUGUGCUUGGUGCCACCAGCACGUCCCCGCAGCUGUCUCCAAGCAACAAAGCCACCACGAUGCCAGUGAGGAUGCGGAUGAGGAUGAGACAAGCUCCCAGCCCCAACACCCGCCCCGGCAUCGAGCAGGAGGCAAGACUGAGCAAACACGAGGCUGUCAGAAAUGGAAAUCGAUCGAGCAACCCAGGCAUCUCCAUUUGGCCUGCCAGGCGCUGGAAACUAAAAGGAGGAGCCCUGAGGAGACGGAAGUUCUCUGCAAGCCAUGCAGGCAUAUGGCUCCCCUCUGCCACCUAAAAAGCAAAAAACAGCUGUCCCAACCUCUGGCUGAGCAGCCCAAGCACCAACACCCACAGGGAAGGUGAAGAAGCUCAUGUGCUGGUUGAUAGCUGCCUCAAUCUGCCUUGACAGAGGCCAGCUUUUCUAGUCCUUUUUCCAUUUUUUUCCCCUAUGUUGCUACAUG
rnacentral:lncRNA from 1 species